AGUAAGCCCUCAAUAAAGUGCUUGCACAAGGAUCCCCAUCUCAGGCUCUGCUUCUAGGAAGCCCAAUAUAAGAUGGGAAUGUUUCAACUUAAAUACAACAAUGAUCAGCAUGUGGGAUCUUAGCUCCUCCAGCAGGGAUCGAACCUGUGCCCCCUGCAGUGGAACUGUGGAGUCUUAACCACUGGACCACCAGGGAAGUCCCAAGAAAGGGGCUACUUCUAAGGAUUACUUGCUCUGGGGAAGGCCAUUGGCCAUGUCAUGAGGGGAAUUUGUGGGGAGACCCACCUGGUGAGGAACUGAAGCCUCUCAUCAGAAGCAUGAGAGGGAGCCAUCUUGGAAGAGGAUCUUUCAGCCUCAGUCAAGCUUCAGAUGAUUGUAGUCCUCCUGGCCCAUAUAUUGACUGAAAUCACGAUAUACUCUGAUUCAGACUCACCCAGCUAACGCUCUUUCAAAUUUCUAGCUGACAGAAAAUAUGAGAUAAUAAAUGUUUGCUUUUAAUCACUAAAUUUUAAAUCACUAAAUUUGGAGGGUAGUUUAUUAUACAAUAAUAAAUAAGUACUGUACCUAGCAUUGCUACGCUA